GAUGAACGCUGGCGGCGUGCCUAAUACAUGCAAGUCGAACGCUUCUUUCCUCCCGAGUGCUUGCACUCAAUUGGAAAGAGGAGUGGCGGACGGGUGAGUAACACGUGGGUAACCUACCCAUCAGAGGGGGAUAACACUUGGAAACAGGUGCUAAUACCGCAUAACAGUUUAUGCCGCAUGGCAUAAGAGUGAAAGGCGCUUUCGGGUGUCGCUGAUGGAUGGACCCGCGGUGCAUUAGCUAGUUGGUGAGGUAACGGCUCACCAAGGCCACGAUGCAUAGCCGACCUGAGAGGGUGAUCGGCCACACUGGGACUGAGACACGGCCCAGACUCCUACGGGAGGCAGCAGUAGGGAAUCUUCGGCAAUGGACGAAAGUCUGACCGAGCAACGCCGCGUGAGUGAAGAAGGUUUUCGGAUCGUAAAACUCUGUUGUUAGAGAAGAACAAGGACGUUAGUAACUGAACGUCCCCUGACGGUAUCUAACCAGAAAGCCACGGCUAACUACGUG
rnacentral:rRNA from 1 species